AACGAACGCUGGCGGCAUGCCUAACACAUGCAAGUCGAACGAGAAGGUACCUUCGGGUACUGGACAGUGGCGGACGGGUGAGUAACGCGUGGGAACCUGCCCUUGGGUACAGGACAACGCCUGGAAACGGGUGCUAAUACUGUAUACGCCCUUUGGGGGAAAGAUUUAUCGCCCUUGGAUGGGCCCGCGUCGGAUUAGCUAGUUGGUGAGGUAACGGCUCACCAAGGCGACGAUCCGUAGCUGGUUUGAGAGGAUGAUCAGCCACACUGGGACUGAGACACGGCCCAG
rnacentral:rRNA from 1 species